GGGUUGUGAGGUUAAGCGACUAAGCGUACACGGUGGAUGCCCUGGCAGUCAGAGGCGAUGAAGGACGUGCUAAUCUGCGAUAAGCGUCGGUAAGGUGAUAUGAACCGUUAUAACCGGCGAUUUCCGAAUGGGGAAACCCAGUGUGAUUCGUCACACUAUCAUUAACUGAAUCCAUAGGUUAAUGAGGCGAACCGGGGGAACUGAAACAUCUAAGUACCCCGAGGAAAAGAAAUCAACCGAGAUUCCCCCAGUAGCGGCGAGCGAACGGGGAGCAGCCCAGAGCCUGAAUCAGUGUGUGUGUUAGUGGAAGCGUCUGGAAAGGCGCGCGAUACAGGGUGACAGCCCCGUACACAAAAAUGCACAUGCUGUGAGCUCGAUGAGUAGGGCGGGACACGUGGUAUCCUGUCUGAAUAUGGGGGGACCAUCCUCCAAGGCUAAAUACUCCUGACUGACCGAUAGUGAACCAGUACCGUGAGGGAAAGGCGAAAAGAACCCCGGCGAGGGGAGUGAAAAAGAACCUGAAACCGUGUACGUACAAGCAGUGGGAGCACGCUUAGGCGUGUGACUGCGUACCUUUUGUAUAAUGGGUCAGCGACUUAUAUUCUGUAGCAAGGUUAACCGAAUAGGGGAGCCGAAGGGAAACCGAGUCUUAACUGGGCGUUAAGUUGCAGGGUAUAGACCCGAAACCCGGUGAUCUAGCCAUGGGCAGGUUGAAGGUUGGGUAACACUAACUGGAGGACCGAACCGACUAAUGUUGAAAAAUUAGCGGAUGACUUGUGGCUGGGGGUGAAAGGCCAAUCAAACCGGGAGAUAGCUGGUUCUCCCCGAAAGCUAUUUAGGUAGCGCCUCGUGAAUUCAUCUCCGGGGGUAGAGCACUGUUUCGGCAAGGGGGUCAUCCCGACUUACCAACCCGAUGCAAACUGCGAAUACCGGAGAAUGUUAUCACGGGAGACACACGGCGGGUGCUAACGUCCGUCGUGAAGAGGGAAACAACCCAGACCGCCAGCUAAGGUCCCAAAGUCAUGGUUAAGUGGGAAACGAUGUGGGAAGGCCCAGACAGCCAGGAUGUUGGCUUAGAAGCAGCCAUCAUUUAAAGAAAGCGUAAUAGCUCACUGGUCGAGUCGGCCUGCGCGGAAGAUGUAACGGGGCUAAACCAUGCACCGAAGCUGCGGCAGCGACGCUGAUGCGUUGUUGGGUAGGGGAGCGUUCUGUAAGCCUGCGAAGGUGUGCUGUGAGGCAUGCUGGAGGUAUCAGAAGUGCGAAUGCUGACAUAAGUAACGAUAAAGCGGGUGAAAAGCCCGCUCGCCGGAAGACCAAGGGUUCCUGUCCAACGUUAAUCGGGGCAGGGUGAGUCGACCCCUAAGGCGAGGCCGAAAGGCGUAGUCGAUGGGAAACAGGUUAAUAUUCCUGUACUUGGUGUUACUGCGAAGGGGGGACGGAGAAGGCUAUGUUGGCCGGGCGACGGUUGUCCCGGUUUAAGCGUGUAGGCUGGUUUUCCAGGCAAAUCCGGAAAAUCAAGGCUGAGGCGUGAUGACGAGGCACUACGGUGCUGAAGCAACAAAUGCCCUGCUUCCAGGAAAAGCCUCUAAGCAUCAGGUAACAUCAAAUCGUACCCCAAACCGACACAGGUGGUCAGGUAGAGAAUACCAAGGCGCUUGAGAGAACUCGGGUGAAGGAACUAGGCAAAAUGGUGCCGUAACUUCGGGAGAAGGCACGCUGAUAUGUAGGUGAAGCGACUUGCUCGUGGAGCUGAAAUCAGUCGAAGAUACCAGCUGGCUGCAACUGUUUAUUAAAAACACAGCACUGUGCAAACACGAAAGUGGACGUAUACGGUGUGACGCCUGCCCGGUGCCGGAAGGUUAAUUGAUGGGGUUAGCGCAAGCGAAGCUCUUGAUCGAAGCCCCGGUAAACGGCGGCCGUAACUAUAACGGUCCUAAGGUAGCGAAAUUCCUUGUCGGGUAAGUUCCGACCUGCACGAAUGGCGUAAUGAUGGCCAGGCUGUCUCCACCCGAGACUCAGUGAAAUUGAACUCGCUGUGAAGAUGCAGUGUACCCGCGGCAAGACGGAAAGACCCCGUGAACCUUUACUAUAGCUUGACACUGAACAUUGAGCCUUGAUGUGUAGGAUAGGUGGGAGGCUUUGAAGUGUGGACGCCAGUCUGCAUGGAGCCGACCUUGAAAUACCACCCUUUAAUGUUUGAUGUUCUAACGUGGACCCGUAAUCCGGGUUGCGGACAGUGUCUGGUGGGUAGUUUGACUGGGGCGGUCUCCUCCUAAAGAGUAACGGAGGAGCACGAAGGUUGGCUAAUCCUGGUCGGACAUCAGGAGGUUAGUGCAAUGGCAUAAGCCAGCUUGACUGCGAGCGUGACGGCGCGAGCAGGUGCGAAAGCAGGUCAUAGUGAUCCGGUGGUUCUGAAUGGAAGGGCCAUCGCUCAACGGAUAAAAGGUACUCCGGGGAUAACAGGCUGAUACCGCCCAAGAGUUCAUAUCGACGGCGGUGUUUGGCACCUCGAUGUCGGCUCAUCACAUCCUGGGGCUGAAGUAGGUCCCAAGGGUAUGGCUGUUCGCCAUUUAAAGUGGUACGCGAGCUGGGUUUAGAACGUCGUGAGACAGUUCGGUCCCUAUCUGCCGUGGGCGCUGGAGAACUGAGGGGGGCUGCUCCUAGUACGAGAGGACCGGAGUGGACGCAUCACUGGUGUUCGGGUUGUCAUGCCAAUGGCACUGCCCGGUAGCUAAAUGCGGAAGAGAUAAGUGCUGAAAGCAUCUAAGCACGAAACUUGCCCCGAGAUGAGUUCUCCCUGACUCCUUGAGAGUCCUGAAGGAACGUUGAAGACGACGACGUUGAUAGGCCGGGUGUGUAAGCGCAGCGAUGCGUUGAGCUAACCGGUACUAAUGAACCGUGAGGCUUAACCUUACAACGCCGAAGCUGUU
rnacentral:rRNA from 1 species